rnacentral:tRNA from 1 species
GGUAAGAUGGCUGAGUGUUAGAAGCGUUAGGCUGUAGUCCUUUUCACAGAGGUUUAAUUCCUCUUCUUAUCG